GUGAAAUUCCGUCGGAAUCUGGGAGGACCAUCUCCUAAGGCUAAAUACUCUCUAGUGACCGAUAGUGAACCAGUACCGUGAGGGAAAGGUGAAAAGCACCCCGGAAGGGGAGUGAAAUAGAACCUGAAACCGUGUGCUUACAAGUAGUCAGAGCCCGUUAAUGGGUGAUGGCGUGCCUUUUGUAGAAUGAACCGGCGAGUUACGAUUUGAUGCAAGGUUAAGCAGUAAAUGUGGAGCCGUAGCGAAAGCGAGUCUGAAUAGGGCGUUUAGUAUUUGGUCGUAGACCCGAAACCAGGUGAUCUACCCUUGGUCAGGUUGAAGUUCAGGUAACACUGAAUGGAGGACCGAACCGACUUACGUUGAAAAGUGAGCGGAUGAACUGAGGGUAGCGGAGAAAUUCCAAUCGAACCUGGAGAUAGCUGGUUCUCUCCGAAAUAGCUUUAGGGCUAGCCUCAAGUGAUGAUUAUUGGAGGUAGAGCACUGUUUGGACGAGGGGCCCCUCUCGGGUUACCGAAUUCAGACAAACUCCGAAUGCCAAUUAAUUUAACUUGGGAGUCAGAACAUGGGUGAUAAGGUCCAUGUUCGAAAGGGAAACAGCCCAGACCACCAGCUAAGGUCCCAAAAUAUAUGUUAAGUGGAAAAGGAUGUGGCGUUGCCCAGACAACUAGGAUGUUGGCUUAGAAGCAGCCAUCAUUUAAAGAGUGCGUAAUAGCUCACUAGUCGAGUGACACUGCGCCGAAAAUGUACCGGGGCUAAACAUAUUACCGAAGCUGUGGAUUGUCCUUUGGACAAUGGUAGGAGAGCGUUCUAAGGGCGUUGAAGCAUGAUCGUAAGGACAUGUGGAGCGCUUAGAAGUGAGAAUGCCGGUGUGAGUAGCGAAAGACGGGUGAGAAUCCCGUCCACCGAUUGACUAAGGUUUCCAGAGGAAGGCUCGUCCGCUCUGGGUUAGUCGGGUCCUAAGCUGAGGCCGACAGGCGUAGGCGAUGGAUAACAGGUUGAUAUUCCUGUACCACCUAUAAUCGUUUUAAUCGAUGGGGGGACGCAGUAGGAUAGGCGAAGCGUGCGAUUGGAUUGCACGUCUAAGCAGUAAGGCUGAGUAUUAGGCAAAUCCGGUACUCGUUAAGGCUGAGCUGUGAUGGGGAGAAGACAUUGUGUCUUCGAGUCGUUGAUUUCACACUGCCGAGAAAAGCCUCUAGAUAGAAAAUAGGUGCCCGUACCGCAAACCGACACAGGUAGUCAAGAUGAGAAUUCUAAGGUGAGCGAGCGAACUCUCGUUAAGGAACUCGGCAAAAUGACCCCGUAACUUCGGGAGAAGGGGUGCUCUUUAGGGUUAACGCCCAGAAGAGCCGCAGUGAAUAGGCCCAAGCGACUGUUUAUCAAAAACACAGGUCUCUGCUAAACCGUAAGGUGAUGUAUAGGGGCUGACGCCUGCCCGGUGCUGGAAGGUUAAGAGGAGUGGUUAGCUUCUGCGAAGCUACGAAUCGAAGCCCCAGUAAACGGCGGCCGUAACUAUAACGGUCCUAAGGUAGCGAAAUUCCUUGUCGGGUAAGUUCCGACCCGCACGAAAGGCGUAACGAUUUGGGCACUGUCUCAACGAGAGACUCGGUGAAAUCAUAGUACCUGUGAAGAUGCAGGUUACCCGCGACAGGACGGAAAGACCCCGUGGAGCUUUACUGUAGCCUGAUAUUGAAAUUCGGCACAGCUUGUACAGGAUAGGUAGGAGCCUUUGAAACGUGAGCGCUAGCUUACGUGGAGGCGCUGGUGGGAUACUACCCUAGCUGUGUUGGCUUUCUAACCCGCACCACUUAUCGUGGUGGGAGACAGUGUCAGGCGGGCAGUUUGACUGGGGCGGUCGCCUCCUAAAAGG
rnacentral:rRNA from 1 species